rnacentral:lncRNA from 1 species
CAUUUCUUGAGCAUUUGUUUUUUAUACCAAAUACUUUAUUGGCAUUAGGAAUACAAAGGUGGAUAGAAAAAAUAAGGUCCCCGUAAGCACUUACAGGAACCUCACAGGAGAGGGCACGGUAGAAACAGGAAAGUCAGCCGUGAUAAAGAAGCGUGUUAUGAAGAGAUAAGUACUGAGAGCCCUAGGAGGUCACCUAACCCAGAUUUAGGGAAAAUUGGAAGUUAGUAACUUGUACACAGACACUUAGAAGGUGUGAAGGAGUUAACCAAAUAAAGAGGUGGGGAAGUCUGUUUCAGGUGGAGGGCACAACGUACGCAGAUUUUGGAAAGAAUGUGAAUGAUUAUGCAUGCUGAGUAUGUGAGUACUAAAAGUAGUUUAGAGAGUCUUAGAGUGGUCAGAUAUGAGACUGGAAAGGUGAGCAGCACCAAAUUAUGAGAAAUGUACAAGCCACAUUCUCCAGGAGAUAGAAUCUACUGAAAGUCAUGAUGGAUUACAUGUUGGAGUUUUGAAGACAGAAAAGUCCGGACUGGAGAUCGGGUUUAAGACUUGGACAACUGGGUGGAUAGUGGAUAUCAUUCACUAAGACAGCAAAAAUAUGAAGAGGAAAUUGAGGAGAUUUUGGGGAGAAGGUGCUGAGUUCAACUUUCGAUGUGCUUGUUUUGUGAUGACUGGGGAACACUCAGAGCAACAGGAAGUAGUUUGAUCUAGAAAUCUGAGGACACGCGUUUAGAAGUCAUGCGUACGUGACAGACAAGAGAGUUCACAGCGAUGAAUGAGAUGCCCUCGGAGGGUGUGUAGGAGCAGAGAAAAAGAAAGAAGCCAGAAUAACACCAAAGCUUAAAUAAAGGAUGGUGUGGGUCCGGUGCGGUGGCUCACGCCUGUAAUCCCAGCAUUUGGGGAGGCUGAGGCGGGCGGAUCCUGAGGUCAGGAGAUGGAGACCAUCCUGGCUAACAUGGUGAAACCCCAUCUCUACUAAAAAUACAAACAGAAAAAUUAGGUGGGCAUGGUGGCGGGUGCCUGUAGUCCCAGCUACUGGGGAGGCUGAGGCAGAAGAAUUGCUUGAACCUGGGAGGCAGAGGUUGCUGUGAGCUGAGAUCGUGCCACUGCCCUCCAGCCUAAGUGACAAAGCAAGACUCUGUCUUACCAAAAAAAAAAAAAAAAAAAAAAAAA